rnacentral:rRNA from 1 species
GCGCAGCAGUCGCGAAAACUCUGCAAUACGCGAAAGCGUGACAGGGCUACCCCGAGUGUCGUCCGCUGAGGACGACUUUUCCACGCUGUAAGGAGGCGGGGGAAUAAGGAGAGGGCAAGUCUGGUGUCAGCCGCCGCGGUAAUACCAGCUCUCCGAGUGGUAGGGACGUUUAUUGGGCUUAAAGCGUCCGUAGCCGGCCCAGCAAGUCUCCCGUUAAAUCCAACGACUCAAUCGUUGGACUGCGGGAGAUACUGCUAGACUAGGAGGCGAGAGAGGCCGACGGUAUUCCCGGAGUAGGGGUGAAAUCCUAUAAUUCCGGGAGGACCACCAGUGGCGAAGGCGGCCGGCUAGAGCGCGCUCGACGGUGAGGGACGAAAGCUGGGGGAGCGAACCGGAUUAGAUACCCCGGUAGUCC